rnacentral:lncRNA from 1 species
AAUGAAUGCAUCUAAGGCACUUAGACAGGACCUGGCACACAGUAAUUAUUCAACAAAUAUGUUGUCACUAUUGUUAUAAUAACAGAGGUGAGGUUUCUGUAGGUGAUUCAGCAAUAGGAAUCAACUCUAUGUUGUUUGGGGGCACUGAGGAUGAUAUCAAAAGGCUAGAGUGUUAUUUUCUCCAAUUUUACAUUUUGGCUAGUCCUUGUUGAACACAGAGCAGUUUUUUCCAAAGUUAUGUCCUAAAUCAAGUCAUGUCAAAUGCCAUUGUUUAGGUUCUGUUCAACAGCCAUCCAAUGAGCACAUAUUAAGUGCCAGACUCUCCUAAUGAACACUGGGGAGAUUUAAAUGUAUGAGAAAUGACACAUCCCCCAUAGAAGUGCAUAUAAUUUACUGGAGAAGACAGGCUUAUGAACAAAUUAUUUCAAAACAAUUUCAGCCAGGCAUGGUGCCUCAUGCCUAUAAUCCCAGCACUUUGGGAGGCCAAGGCAUGAGGACUGUGCUGAGCUCAGGAGUUUGAGACCAGCCUGGGUAACAUAGCGAGAUCCCAUCUCUACUAAAAAUAAAGAAAAUCAGCUGGGCGUCGGGGUGCUUACGUGUAGUCCCGCCUACUCAGGAGGCUGAGGUGAGAAGAUCGCUUGAGCCCUGCAGUUGAGGCUGCAGUGAGCCAUGAUUGGGCCAUUGCAUUCCAGCCUGGGUGACAGAGCAAGACCCUGUCUCCAAAAAACAAAACAAAGAAUUUCCAUUUGGUCAUUACUCUCAUAGGCCAUGACAAUCUCAAAAAAGUGACUCACCAAUUCAUAAAAUAUUUGUUCCUCCUUGUUAUCACCUUCCUCACUACUCAUCUUCUGUCCUAUUUAUGCCUCCUCAUUAAUAGAUGAGAGGAGAGGAGGAACUGGGGAAUGGUGGUGAGGAAGGAGCAGAGAAAUAAUUAUUUUAGUGAAAAUGCUAACAACUAAGUAUAAACCAAUGCACAGUGUACAAGUGCAUAAUGAGAAAACAUGCUUAAGAUAUCACAUCCCUCCCUGCCAUGCCAUUCUUGAGAAGUGCCAUGUAGGGAUACAUGUUAUGAUAAAGCAAAUAUACAGCAUUGGAUUUUUUUUUAAGGGGUCUAAUUUCAACCAUUGUGCUUUACCGUUCCAGAAAGAUAAGAGAUUGUAACCCAGAAGAAGUGAAGUUUAUAAGCUCUUCUUACUGGUUUGCCAUCCAGGGGAUACUUUACGGAAAGCCUAGCUCAUAGCUAUUUAAUAGUAAUAUCAGGCUGGGCAUGGUGGCUCACGCCUGUAAUCCCAGCAGUUUGGGAGGCUGAGGUGGGUGGAUAACUUGAGGCUAGGAAUUUGAGACCAGCCUGGUCAACAUGGCAAAACACUGUCUCUACUAAAAAAAAAAAAAAAAAAUUAGCCAGGCAUGGUAGCACACGUCUGUAAUCCCAGCUACUAGGGAGGCUGAGGCAGGAGAAUUGCUUGAACCUGGGAGGUGGAAGUUUUGGUGAGCUGAGAUCACGCCUCUGCACUCCAACCUGGGCAAUAGUGUGAGACUCCAUCUCAAAAAAAAAAAAGAAUCUUCCAAGCAAGCACUUUACAGUUGAGAGACAUGUUCCCUAUAAUAACAUCAUAAGAACUUUACCAUAAAGCUGUGAACUAGGCAAAGGUAGACAUUAUUAUAUUCCUUCUUUACAUAAAUGAAAUGGAGGCUCAGCAAAGUGACAUUUCAAAUAAUUAGUACAGAAGACUUCUCAUUAUUUGAACUUUUUUCUACAUUAAUUCCAAUUUCAUUUUGUUCUUAAUUUUGCCAUGUUUCUAAAACAGAGUGGUUCCUAAGGCAAGAGGAAAGCCAACCUAGAAGGGAGGACCUGGGAAAUAGCAAGCUGGUUUAGCAACUACACAGAGCACCUACAAAGGCACACAUCAGGCAGGGCGCGGUGGCUCACGCCUGUAAUCCCAGCACUUUGGGAGGCCGAGGCUGGCGGAUCAUGAGGUCAGGAGUUCAUCACCAGCCUGGCCAACAUAGUGAAACCUCGUUUCUACUCAAAAUACAAAAAAUUAGUCGGGCGUGGUGGCAGGUGCCUGUAAUCCUAACUAAUCAGGAGUCUGAGGAAGGAGAAUUGCUUGAAUCUGGGAGGCGGAGGUUGCAGCAAACUGAGAUUGUGCCACUGCACACCAGCCUGUGGGACAGUGCGAGACUCUGUCUAAAAACCAAAAAAGGCACACAUCAUAUAUGCAGAACUGAAAAAUUUCAAAAGGCAGCACUUCGUAUUUUUAAGAGAUGGACUAAUUACUGAGAUAUAUACCAUCAAAAACCAAACCUGAUGACACCUUGACUCGACAAAACUUGCAGGAAUAAGAGGUACCUAGGAGGGUGUGGUCACUGGUGACCAGUGGGAAUGGCAUGAAUUCAAGUAUAGCUGUCAUCUCAGUCUUCCUGCCUCAUCAAGUCAAGUGCAGCGUGUUCUAGGAGAACAGCAUGCUUGCUUGUCCUGAUAGCAAGUGGUUCUGCUUGUACCUGUAAUUGUUACAUGGGGUCAAAAGUUAAGAGCUCAGACUUUACAGAACAAAGGAACAACCUGCCCAAAUCAUCUGCAUUUCAAUUUACUCUUGUGAAAAAUGGAAUCAGAACAAAACUUGAAAGGAGAGAUCCCAUUAUCUUUAUUGCCUAAUGUCAAGUAGGUGUUAGGGCUUUUUAAAGAGAUGCAUGGAAGUCUGAAAGAAUGUCACCCCAGUAGCCAAGUAAUGAAGCAGGAAAAGGUUGAAAAUGGCCUAUAUCCCACAGUGGGAAAGAAAAGACAGGCUGCCUUCAGCCCCAACUCUUAACUAAAGGGACAGAGGAUGAUCAAGUUAGAGCUUAAAUAUUCAAAUAGGUGAUUUGGUGAUAUCUUAGAACCUCUGACAUCAAUAGAGCAUAAGAAAGAUAUAUUUGGGGGCCAGGCACAGUGGCUCAUGCCUGUAAUCCCAGCACUUUGGGAGGCGGAGGCGGGCAGAUCACUUGAGGUUAGGAGUUCCAGACCAGCCUGGCCAACAUGGCAAAACUCCAUCUCUACUAAAAAUACAAAAAUUAGCAAGGUGUGGUGGUGUGCACUUGUAAUCUCAGCUGGGGAGGCUGAAGUAGGAGAAUCGCUUGAACCCGGGGGGCGGAGGUUGCAGUGAGCCAAGAUCACACCACUGCACUCCAGCCGGAGCAACAGAAUGAGACUCCGUCUAAAAAAAAAAAAAAGAAGAAAGAAAGAAAG